UUGUUUUCUUUUCUCAGGCCCGGUCAGUACCCACCACCCUUCCCUGUUCACCCACACUUUAUACUUUUUCUUAGAAAACCAACGGCUCUUUUAAGAGCCACUUCAAUAAUCAACUCACUCACUCUCCUCAAAAAUGCCAGGCCAGGGGUCAACAACUAGAAAGUGUGUGGUCUUCCAUACACAACUAAAUGUAGCUUGCAAAACCUGCAACACAUACAAGGUAGAGCAGCCACAUAAGCUUCGGGUAAAAAAGAACUGAAGAAAUUUGAUCAGAAGCGGGAGAGCUGGGUGCAUGAUGAAGAUAUGCUGGCCUGGAAGAAAACCAAAUGCUUGGGGGUCUGAGGUUCUGACACCCCGUUGUCACUUGACUGAGACAUCCAUUACAUGCUUGGAAAGAUUAAAGAACCUAUUCAAGGCGGGACCUCACAAGGUGUUGCAGAACAAGUCAAUAAAACCUCAUCAGCCCGAGUUGAAUCCAAAUGGACCAACCUGAUCUCCAGGUACCAGUGGCCCUGCCUCAUACCAGAGCAGCUCCAACUGGACCACCAGCAGCCCUUAUUGCACCACCAAAGUCCCCAAUUUGACAGCCAGUAUCCCUUUUAGGACCCUCAGGACACCAUGCAACCCCACUGCAGCAAUCUGGGAAAAGAAACCCAUUACCCAGAUGGACCCCCAAGAGCCUCCCCAGUUUCUCUUGGAAAAGAUGGUGUGAAAGAAGGCUUUCCAGCUCUGACUACAGUGCAGCCAGAUCAAAGGAAA